rnacentral:lncRNA from 1 species
UUCAUGGAAAGCAACAUAAGUUGAAUAGCUUAUUUUUACCGACUGUUCCUAGAGCAAGAGGCAAAGGACUUAAUGGUUGGUACUCGAGAUCCAAAUUCGAAUCAUAGUUGAUUCACAUUUUUAACUAAGUUUAUUUCUAAAUGAAAUAAACGAAGUGGAUAGCGUGCUAAUUAUCUCUCAAAAAAAAAAGAAUAGCUUACUUUU